UACGGGGGGGGCAAGCGUUGUUCGGAAUUACUGGGCGUAAAGGGCUCGUAGGUGGCCAACUAAGUCAGACGUGAAAUCCCCAGGCUUAACCUGGGAACUGCGUCUGAUACUGGAUGGCUUGAAUUCGGGAGAGGGAUGCAGAAUUCCAGGUGUAGCGGUGAAAUGCGUAGAGAUGUGGAGGAACACCAGUGGCGAAGGCGACUUUUUGGCCUGUAACUGACGCUGAGGCGCGAAAGCGUGGGGAGCAAACAGG
rnacentral:rRNA from 1 species